AACGAACGCUGGCGGCAUGCCUAACACAUGCAAGUCGAACGAGACCUUCGGGUCUAGUGGCGCACGGGUGCGUAACGCGUGGGAACCUGCCCUUAGGUUCGGAAUAACUCCCCGAAAGGUGUGCUAAUACCGGAUAAUGUCAUCGGACCAAAGAUUUCUCGCCUUUGGAUGGGCCCGCGUUGGAUUAGCUAGUUGGUAGGGUAAAAGCCUACCAAGGCGACGAUCCAUAGCUGGUCUGAGAGGAUGAUCAGCCACACUGGGACUGAGACACGGCCCAGACUCCUACGGGAGGCAGCAGUGGGGAAUAUUGGACAAUGGGCGAAAGCCUGAUCCAGCAAUGCCGCGUGAGUGAUGAAGGCCUUAGGGUUGUAAAGCUCUUUUACCCGGGAUGAUAAUGACAGUACCGGGAGAAUAAGCUCCGGCUAACUCCGUG
rnacentral:rRNA from 1 species